rnacentral:rRNA from 1 species
AGACCCGAAACCCGGUGAUCUAGCCAUGGGCAGGUUGAAGGUUGGGUAACACUAACUGGAGGACCGAACCGACUAAUGUUGAAAAAUUAGCGGAUGACCUGUGGCUGGGGGUGAAAGGCCAAUCAAACCGGGAGAUAGCUGGUUCUCCCCGAAAGCUAUUUAGGUAGCGCCUCGUGAAUUCAUCUCCGGGGGUAGAGCACUGUUUCGGCUAGGGGGCCAUCCCGGCUUACCAACCCGAUGCAAACUGCGAAUACCGGAGAAUGUUAUCACGGGAGACACACGGCGGGUGCUAACGUCCGUCGUGAAGAGGGAAACAACCCAGACCGCCAGCUAAGGUCCCAAAGUCAUGGUUAAGUGGGAAACGAUGUGGGAAGGCCCAGACAGCCAGGAUGUUGGCUUAGAAGCAGCCAUCAUUUAAAGAAAGCGUAAUAGCUCACUGGUCGAGUCGGCCUGCGCGGAAGAUGUAACGGGGCUAAACCAUGCACCGAAGCUGCGGCAGCGACACUGUGUGUUGUUGGGUAGGGGAGCGUUCUGUAAGCCUGUGAAGGUGUGUCGUGAGGCAUGCUGGAGGUAUCAGAAGUGCGAAUGCUGACAUAAGUAACGAUAAAGCGGGUGAAAAGCCCGCUCGCCGGAAGACCAAGGGUUCCUGUCCAACGUUAAUCGGGGCAGGGUGAGUCGACCCCUAAGGCGAGGCCGAAAGGCGUAGUCGAUGGGAAACGGGUUAAUAUUCCCGUACUUGGUGUUACUGCGAAGGGGGGACGGAGAAGGCUAUGUUGGCCGGGCGACGGUUGUCCCGGUUUAAGCGUGUAGGUGUGUGUUCCAGGUAAAUCCGGUUCACUUUAACACUGAGGCGUGACGACGAGGCACUACGGUGCUGAAGCAACAAAUGCCCUGCUUCCAGGAAAAGCCUCUAAGCAUCAGGUAACAUCAAAUCGUACCCCAAACCGACACAGGUGGUCAGGUAGAGAAUACCAAGGCGCUUGAGAGAACUCGGGUGAAGGAACUAGGCAAAAUGGUGCCGUAACUUCGGGAGAAGGCACGCUGACACGUAGGUGAAGUGAUUUACUCAUGGAGCUGAAGUCAGUCGAAGAUACCAGCUGGCUGCAACUGUUUAUUAAAAACACAGCACUGUGCAAACACGAAAGUGGACGUAUACGGUGUGACGCCUGCCCGGUGCCGGAAGGUUAAUUGAUGGGGUCAGCGCAAGCGAAGCUCCUGAUCGAAGCCCCGGUAAACGGCGGCCGUAACUAUAACGGUCCUAAGGUAGCGAAAUUCCUUGUCGGGUAAGUUCCGACCUGCACGAAUGGCGUAAUGAUGGCCAGGCUGUCUCCACCCGAGACUCAGUGAAAUUGAACUCGCUGUGAAGAUGCAGUGUACCCGCGGCAAGACGGAAAGACCCCGUGAACCUUUACUAUAGCUUGACACUGAACAUUGAGCCUUGAUGUGUAGGAUAGGUGGGAGGCUUUGAAGCGUGGACGCCAGUCUGCGUGGAGCCGACCUUGAAAUACCACCCUUUAAUGUUUGAUGUUCUAACGUGGACCCGUAAUCCGGGUUGCGGACAGUGUCUGGUGGGUAGUUUGACUGGGGCGGUCUCCUCCUAAAGAGUAACGGAGGAGCACGAAGGUUGGCUAAUCCUGGUCGGACAUCAGGAGGUUAGUGCAAUGGCAUAAGCCAGCUUGACUGCGAGCGUGACGGCGCGAGCAGGUGCGAAAGCAGGUCAUAGUGAUCCGGUGGUUCUGAAUGGAAGGGCCAUCGCUCAACGGAUAAAAGGUACUCCGGGGAUAACAGGCUGAUACCGCCCAAGAGUUCAUAUCGACGGCGGUGUUUGGCACCUCGAUGUCGGCUCAUCACAUCCUGGGGCUGAAGUAGGUCCCAAGGGUAUGGCUGUUCGCCAUUUAAAGUGGUACGCGAGCUGGGUUUAGAACGUCGUGAGACAGUUCGGUCCCUAUCUGCCGUGGGCGCUGGAGAACUGAGGGGGGCUGCUCCUAGUACGAGAGGACCGGAGUGGACGCAUCACUGGUGUUCGGGUUGUCAUGCCAAUGGCACUGCCCGGUAGCUAAAUGCGGAAGAGAUAAGUGCUGAAAGCAUCUAAGCACGAAACUUGCCCCGAG